UAAUAGAAAUUAUUCUAGCCCUUUAGUGGUAUCUUAGGCCUGUUCUAGAUUGUGUUGACUAUUUUUGUUAACAUAACUUCUCUAGCCUGGACAGGAUUCAUAUCAUAAUUAUUGUUUGAAUGGUAGAAAUUUAAAUUUUCUAAGAUGUUUUAGCAUCGUAUGGUUGCUUAUAGGAUUUCAAAUCGAUCACCAAUUUGAUCUAAUUGUUAUUAGUGUUGCAAAUUUUUUGCUCUAGUAAUAUCAAUAAGAUUUUUUGUUUUUGUUUCCUUCCUAUUGAAUUUGAUCAAUGGUGUUUAUACUCUAAUUCAGAUUGUGUUUGUGUUUGUAACUGGGUUUGCUUUGUUAUUGCCAAACAAAGCUGGAAGGAAUUUGAAUCUUCUCAUCUAUUGUGCAUUUACUAAAAGGUUCUAAAUUCAUAUUUUUUAGAUAUUUUAGUGGGAUUGACCUUUCUUAAAUAAAAGAGCAUAUUUUCGGCCUUUAGUUUAGGAUUUCAGCAGUUCUAAUGUACAUAUGAAACUACAUUAGUCAGUUCUAAUACUUUUUUGGAACUGAUUCUAUGAUGUGAGGAUUUGAAUAAACAUGCCUUUAACGUACUCAUAAAUAAUCUUUCUGAGAUUGAAUUUCACUUACAGGUGGUGCCAGUAUAUUGGUCGGGAGCAUGCUGCAAAGAAACCUCUACUGUUGUUUGUAUAAUAUCUGUUGUGAAAUUGAGAGUAUAGUUUGGUCCUAUAUUAAUUAACUUCUUUCUGAUUUUCUAUUUUCUGGGUAUAGACUCCACUUGAACGAUUGGAGCCUGGUUUCAGAUAUAGGACUCAGUUCGUAAGCCUCAUGCCCAUAAAGAUACACCUCUUAGCAAGUUUUUUAAUGUAGAAGUUGUUGCUUUGUCUAGCUAUGAAGAGAAGGAAGAGAAAUUUAAAGAGGAGGUAAUUCCAAGAAUUAUAAGUGCUUUAUCAAGUCUUAGAACUUGUAUUGGUCAGUUAUCUGAUUAGAUGUUGGUGAGAGUCUUGGAGGCUGAAUAAACUUUUGUUUAUUUUUUAUCUAGGCUGUUUGGGCUAUUCUUUUUGCACAAUUGGUCUAUUUGGUAGUUGUCCGCUUUUUGAAUUUGUUAUGCUAUUUAAGGAAUCUUUAUUUCUUUCACUUCUGACAUUUUACUUCGGUUUUCUUGUUUGAGGGUGUUAUUUUGAACUCUUCCAAUUUUAAUUAGAUUUGGUCUCCAUUCUUCUGGGGUCUUUUCUCUCUAGUCUUUCUUCUAUUCUUUGAUCAAUAAUUGUAAUUCAUAGAAUUUUCCCCUAUCUAAUUUAAUUUAAAAAACUCAUGUGCCUAUACAAGUUCAUGUAUUCUCUGACCUAUUCUCUCUUGGAAAGCUCAAUACGCAUGCAUCAUGUUUGUCGAAGAAAGUCCUUUUUAUUUUUCCUAGUUGGUGUGUUGUGGGAAUUAGUAUGGCGAGAAUGCGUUUACCUUUUAACUUUAUUAAAGUUAUAAUUUAAUAUAUAUUUGACAUCUAAACUUAGUGUUUGGUGUAUAU